AUUGAACGCUGGCGGCAGGCCUAACACAUGCAAGUCGAGCGAGCGGCGGACGGGUGUGUAAUGUCUGGGAAACUGCCUGUUGGAGGGGGAUAUCUCCUGGAAACGGUAGCUAUUACCGCAUACCAUCAGAUGUGCCCCGAUGGGAUUAGCUAGUAGGUGGGGUAACGGCUCACCUAGGCGACGAUCCCUAGCUGGUCUGAGAGGAUGACCAGCCACACUGGAACUGGGACACGGUCCAGACUCCUACGGGAGGCAGCAGUGGGGAAUAUUGCACAAUGGGCGCAAGCCUGAUGCAGCCAUGCCGCGUGUAUGAAGAAGGCCUUCGGGUUGUAAAGCACUUUCAGCGGGGAGGCGUUACCCGCAGAAGAAGCACCGGCUAACUCCGUGCCAGCAGCCGCGGUAAUAC
rnacentral:rRNA from 1 species